GUGGAGAUGCCGGAGUCUGGUUGAACGGAGUUGGCUUAGAACCAUCUGUCAUUAGGACUAAACGCGCAGGUUCAAAUCCUGCUCUCCACA
rnacentral:tRNA from 1 species